rnacentral:rRNA from 1 species
GUGAACGCUGGCGGUAGGCCUAACACAUGCAAGUCGAACGGCAGCACAGUAAGAGCUUGCUCUUCCGGGUGGCGAGUGGCGGACGGGUGAGGAAUACAUCGGAAUCUACUUUUUCGUGGGGGAUAACGUAGGGAAACUUACGCUAAUACCGCAUACGACCUACGGGUGAAAGCAGGGGAUCUUCGGACCUUGCGCGAUUGAAUGAGCCGAUGUCGGAUUAGUUAGUUGGCGGGGUAAAGGCCCACCAAGGCGACGAUCCGUAGCUGGUCUGAGCGGAUGAUCAGCCACACUGGAACUGAGACACGGUCCAGACUCCUACGGGAGGCAGCAGUGGGGAAUAUUGGACAAUGGGCGCAAGCCUGAUCCAGCCAUACCGCGUGGAUGAAGAAGGCCUUCUGGUUGUAAAGCCCUUUUGUUGGGAAAGAAAAGCAGCACGUUAAUACCCCGCUGUUCUGACGGUACCCAAAGAAUAAGCACCGGCUAACUUCGUG